ensembl:misc_RNA
CCGCUUUACUCUCUCGAGCUCCUGGGCUCCACCUGCCCCUCCUCCAGGCAAACGCCCAUCUGCCUUCCAUGACAGCCAUAUAACAGGAGAUUGUGACCUGAACACUAAUAAUACCAAAGAACAUUC